GUAGGUGGCAAGCGUUGUCCGGAAUUAUUGGGCGUAAAGCGCGCGCAGGCGGUUCUUUAAGUCUGGUGUGAAAGCCCACGGCUCAACCGUGGAGGGUCAUUGGAAACUGGAGAACUUGAGUACAGAAGAGGAAAGCGGAAUUCCACGUGUAGCGGUGAAAUGCGUAGAGAUGUGGAGGAACACCAGUGGCGAAGGCGGCUUUCUGGUCUGUAACUGACGCUGAGGCGCGAAAGCGUGGGGAGCAAACAGGAUUAGAUACCCUGGUAGUCCACGCCGUAAACGAUGAGUGCUAAGUGUUAGGGGGUUUCCCGCCCCCCUUAGUGCUGCAGCUAACGCAUUAAGCACUCCGCCUGGGGAGUACGGCCGCAAGGCUG
rnacentral:rRNA from 1 species